ACGCAGCGAAAUGCGAUAAGUAAUGUGAAUUGCAGAAUUCAGUGAAUCAUCGAAUCUUUGAACGCACAUUGCGCCCUCUGGUAUUCCGGAGGGCAUGCCUGUUCGAGCGUCAUUUCAACCCUCAAGCCUGGCUUGGUGUUGGGGCACUGCUCUCUGA
rnacentral:rRNA from 1 species